ensembl:snRNA
ACCAUUCUUUUCUUGGGGUUGCACUACUAUCCAAUGAGUGCAUAGGGAGGGCAGUACUGCUAACAUCUACCCAGCACGCUCACAUCAACUAGAGCUUUGCUUUAUAUGGUGCAAUGUUUUGGAAAA